rnacentral:rRNA from 1 species
GUGAGGGAAAGUUGCAAAGAACUUUGAAGAGAGAGUUCAAGAGAACGUGAAAUCGCUGAAGUGGAACCGGAGAGAGUUAACAUAACUUGGUAGCUAUAUUCUCUAUAGUCGCUUAACUGUGGCUCUGGGGAGUGGACGCUACCUGUUGUUGCACUGACUGCGUUGAUCGUGCUUUCCGAACAGUGUAGUGUUGCCCACUUUGUGGUGUCUUGCUUACUGGGAGGUUUGUCAUGGUUAACGUAUAGCCUUAGUCCCGAGGGAGUCAGUGUGAAAGUUAACCACCUUUCCGACCCGUCUUGAAACACGGACCGAGGAGUGUAAGUUAUACGCGAGUCAAGGAGUGGUGAAAACUCUAGGGGCGGAAUGAAAGUAAAGACUAGUUAACUAGUUGACAUGGGAUCCGCUCUUCGGAGCGGCGCACCAUGGCCCUGUCUUGUCUGCUUGCAGAUGGGCAGCGGUAGAGCGUAUAGCUUGCGACCCGAAAGAUGGUGAACUAUGCUUGAGCAGGACGAAGCCAGAGGAAACUCUGGUGGAAGUCCGUAUCGGUUCUGACGUGCAAAUCGAUCGAUAGACUUGGGUAUAGGGGCGAAAGAC